GACCUUAACCUGCUAAAUAGCCAGACCGUCUUCGGAUGGUCGCGGGCUUCUUAGAGGGACUGUCAGGAUCUACCUGACGGAAGUUUGAGGCAAUAACAGGUCUGUGAUGCCCUUGACCGAUUACUAGAUUUGUAACAUCUAGGGGCAAAAAGUGAACCUAAGAAGGGUUUGCUAGUGGUCUUUCGAGACCGCAACACAUUCAAAUUGCGGGAAACUCCUAAAGCUUUGACUACCG
rnacentral:rRNA from 1 species